rnacentral:rRNA from 1 species
UAUCUGCCAUGAGUAUAUUUAAAUGGCCGCAGUAAUUUGACUGUGCAAAGGUAGCAUAAUAAUUAGGCUUUUAAUUGGAGUCUGGUAUGAAUGAUUGGAUGAGAAAUUAACUUUCUUUAAUUUUUUUAUUUGAAUUUAAUUUUUAAGUGAAAAAGCUUAGAUUUUUCUAUGGGACGAUAAGACCCUUUAGAGCUUUAUGAUUUUUUUUUUAUAAUUUUUUUUUAUAAUUUUAUUAUUUUGCAAUUAUUUUGUUGGGGUGACAAUUAAAUUUUUUUAACUUUAAUAUUUUUAUUCAUUUAUUUUUGUUUAUUCUGAUCUUUUAUUAAUGAUUUUUAGAUUAAGUUGCUUUAGGGAUAACAGGAAAUUUUUUUUUAAGAACCCCC